CCCGCACAAGCGGUGGAGCAUGUGGUUAAUUCGACGCAACGCGAAGAACCUUACCAGGGCUUGACAUCCCCUGACCGCGUAUGAAAGUACGUUUUCACCCUCGGGUGACAGGGAGACAGGUGGUGCAUGGUUGUCGUCAGCUCGUGUCGUGAGAUGUUGGGUUAAGUCCCGCAACGAGCGCAACCCCUACGUUUAGUUGCUAACAGGUGAAGCUGAGCACUCUAGACGAACUGCCGUUGACAAAACGGAGGAAGGUGGGAUGACGUCAAAUCAUCAUGCCCCUUAUGUUCUGGGCUACACACGUGCUACAAUGGCCGGUACAGACGGAGGCGAAGCCGCGAGGCGGAGCAAAUCCGAAAAAGCCGGUCUCAGUUCGGAUUGCAGGCUGCAAUUCGCCUGCAUGAAGUCGGAAUCGCUAGUAAUCGCAGGUCAGCAUACUGCGGUGAAUACGUUCCCGGGCCUU
rnacentral:rRNA from 1 species